rnacentral:rRNA from 1 species
GUUGGGUAGGGGAGCGUUCUGUAAGCCUGCGAAGGUGUACUGUGAGGUAUGCUGGAGGUAUCAGAAGUGCGAAUGCUGACAUAAGUAACGAUAAUGCGGGUGAAAAACCCGCACGCCGGAAGACCAAGGGUUCCUGUCCAACGUUAAUCGGGGCAGGGUGAGUCGACCCCUAAGGCGAGGCUGAAAAGCGUAGUCGAUGGGAAACGGGUUAAUAUUCCCGUACUGGUGGUAACUGCGAUGGGGGAACGGAGAAGGCUAGGUUGUCCGGGCGACGGUCGUCCCGGUUCAAGCAGGUAGGCAGAGUGAUUAGGCAAAUCCGGUCACUUAAUGCUGAGAUGUGAUGACGAACCACUAAGGUGGUGAAGCAAUUGAUGCCCCGCUUCCAGGAAAAGCCUCUAAGCUUCAGGUUACCAACAAUCGUACCCCAAACCGACACAGGUGGUCAGGUAGAGAAUACUCAGGCGCUUGAGAGAACUCGGGUGAAGGAACUAGGCAAAAUGGUGCCGUAACUUCGGGAGAAGGCACGCUGGCGGUAGGUAAAGUCCCUUGCGGACGGCGCUGAAGCCAGUCGAAGAUACCAGCUGGCUGCAACUGUUUAUUAAAAACACAGCACUGUGCAAACACGAAAGUGGACGUAUACGGUGUGACGCCUGCCCGGUGCUGGAAGGUUAAUUGAUGGGGU